rnacentral:rRNA from 1 species
GACGAACGCUGGCGGCGUGCCUAAUACAUGCAAGUCGAGCGGACGGAUGGGAGCUUGCUCCCAGACCGUCAGCGGCGGACGGGUGAGUAACACGUGGGCAACCUGCCUGUAAGACUGGGAUAACUCCGGGAAACCGGGGCUAAUACCGGAUAACUCUUUCCCUCACAUGAGGGAAAGCUGAAAGAUGGCAUCUCGCUAUCACUUACAGAUGGGCCCGCGGCGCAUUAGCUAGUUGGUGAGGUAACGGCUCACCAAGGCGACGAUGCGUAGCCGACCUGAGAGGGUGAUCGGCCACACUGGGACUGAGACACGGCCCAGACUCCUACGGGAGGCAGCAGUAGGGAAUCUUCCGCAAUGGACGAAAGUCUGACGGAGCAACGCCGCGUGAGUGAUGAAGGUUUUCGGAUCGUAAAACUCUGUUGUCAGGGAAGAACAAGUACCGGAGCAACUACCGGUACCUUGACGGUACCUGACCAGAAAGCCACGGCUAACUACGUG